AGUGAACGCUGGCGGUAGGCCUAACACAUGCCAGUCGAACGGCAGCACAGUAAGAGCUUGCUCUUACGGGUGGCGAGUGGCGGACGGGUGAGGAAUACAUCGGAAUCUACUUUUUCGUGGGGGAUAACGUAGGGAAUCUUACGCUAAUACCGCAUACGACCUACGGGUGAAAGCAGGGGAUCUUCGGACCUUGCGCGAUUGAAUGAGCCGAUGUCGGAUUAGCUAGUUGGCGGGGUAAAGGCCCACCAAGGCGACGAUCCGUAGCUGGUCUGAGAGGAUGAUCAGCCACACUGGAACUGAGACACGGUCCAGACGCCUACGGGAGGCAGCAGUGGGGAAUAUUGGACAAUGGGCGCAAGCCUGAUCCAGCCAUACCGCGUGGGUGAAGAAGGCCUUCGGGUUGUAAAGCCCUUUUGUUGGGAAAGAAAAGCAGCAGGUUAAUACCCCGCUGUUCUGACGGUACCCAAAGAAUAAGCACCGGCUAACUUCGUG
rnacentral:rRNA from 1 species